rnacentral:snRNA from 1 species
GUGCUCUCUUUGGCAGCACACACACACACUCAAACUGGAACAGUAUAGAGAUAAGCAUAGCCCCUAUGGAAAGACGGCAUGCAAAUUUGUAAAGUGUUCCAUAUUUUU